AAUGGCCGGGACAAAGGGUCGCGAUCCCGCGAGGGUGAGCUAACUCCAAAAACCCGUCCUCAGUUCGGAUUGCAGGCUGCAACCUUUUUUAUUGGAUG
rnacentral:ncRNA from 1 species